GCCUGGUUGGCUCAGUCGGUUGAGCGUCCGACUUCGGCUCUGGUCAUGAUCUCGCGGUCUGUGAGUUCGAGCCCCACGUCGGGCU
rnacentral:tRNA from 1 species